GAAUUAGUUCUCUCAAAGGAUAAGGGGUUUUGGAGAAAGGUGCGGGUGCAGCGUGUGGGUGUGAUGUAGGGGAAGGAGGGAGUCUAAUGAGGAAGGAGCCUGGAGGUCUUAUGUGUUGAGAAGAUAGAAGGGUUGGGUUUUUCCUGGUGGUUGUUUUAUUUGUAUUUUUUUUCCUCCCUUUUUUUGUGGGUUGGGAAGUGGAGAGGGUGAAUAUGCAAUGGGCGGUGCAAAGGGAGGAAGGAAAUGAUCGUAUAA
rnacentral:lncRNA from 1 species